ACUUCGCGGAUUUAUGCCCAUCCUGAUGCGCACUGUCGUCCUAAUGAUCGGACGUGCCCUUAGUCAGCGGGGAAGUCAGACCAAGAUGAAGGAAGAAUAAUUGGAAUAAUUGCUGCCCAACAGUUGGCCCAGUUGGAUAGUUCCAAAGCCAAGCGUCAUGUUUUUUUUUUCGAACUUUCAAGUUUAAUAUCGUAAAUUGAUAUUAAAACAGACGUUUCCAUUGCCAAUCAAAAUUUCAUAGAAGUGAAGAAAAAAUGUUCUAUAUUAACAUAUCGCGGAAUU